rnacentral:rRNA from 1 species
AUGGUAGGAUAGAGGCCUACCAUGGUUUUAACGGGUAACGGGGAAUCAGGGUUCGAUUCCGGAGAGGGAGCCUGAGAAACGGCUACCACAUCCAAGGAAGGCAGCAGGCGCGCAAAUUACCCAAUCCCGACACGGGGAGGUAGUGACAAUAAAUAACAAUAUGGGGCUCUUACGAGUCUUGUAAUUGGAAUGAGUACAAUUUAAAUCUCUUAACGAGGAACAAUUGGAGGGCAAGUCUGGUGCCAGCAGCCGCGGUAAUUCCAGCUCCAAUAGCGUAUAUNAAAGUUGUUGCAGUUAAAAAGCUCGUAGUUGAAUUUCGGGAUUUAUCCGUCGGUCGGGCUUUUGGGUUUGUACUGGCGUGAUGGAUUCCUACCUUCUGAAUAACCGGCAUGUCAUUAAUUUGGUGCGCCGGGGAAGCAGGACUGUUACCUUGAAAAAAUUAGAGUGCUUAAAGCAGGCUUAUGCCUGAAUACAUUAGCAUGGAAUAAUGAAAUAGGACGGCAUGGUUCUAUUUUGUUGGUUUCUAGGAUCACCGUAAUGAUUAAUAGGGAUAGUUGGGGGCAUUAGUAUUCAAUUGUCAGAGGUGAAAUUCUUGGAUUUAUUGAAGACUAACUUCUGCGAAAGCAUUUGCCAAGGAUGUUUUCAUUAAUCAAGAACGGAAGUUAGGGGAUCGAAGACGAUCAGAUACCGUCGUAGUCUUAACCAUAAACUAUGCCGACUAGGGAUCGGACGAUGUUAAUUUUUUAAUGACUCGUUCGGCGCCUUACGGGAAACCAAAGUGUUUGGG